AUUGAACGCUGGCGGCAUGCCUUACACAUGCAAGUCGAACGAGUGGCGGACGGGUGAGUAACGUAUGGGAACGUGCCUCGUGGUGGGGGAUAACUACUGGAAACGUUAGCUAAUACCGCAUAUUAUCAGAUGUGCCCAUAUGGGAUUCGCUAGUUGGUGGGGUAAAGGCCUACCACGGCGACGCUCCGUAGCUGGUCUGAGAGGAUGACCCGCCACACUGGGACUGAGACACGGCCCAGACUCCUACGGGAGGCAGCAGUGGGGAAUUUUGCACAAUGGGCGCAAGCCUGAUGCAGCCAUGCCGCGUGUCUGAAGAAGGCCUUCGGGUUGUAAAGGACUUUUGUCAGGGAAGCGUUACCUGAAGAAUAAGCACCGGCUAACUACGUGCCAGCCGCCGCGGUAAUAC
rnacentral:rRNA from 1 species